AGCCGCUCGGGAGCGGCUCGGGGUUUGGGGGCCUGGGCUCCCACUGGCGAGGUGCGCCUGGAACGGCGGAUGUCGCGCUGCGCGCUUGGGGGCUUGGGGAACGGAUGCGGGAGAAAAUGGUGGCCGCGCGGCUGAAGGACCUGCCGGAGGGUGCCUGGCUGUUGAGAGGGUGUGGUUGCAGCCACAGUGACCACCGCAGCUUUGCCCCUGUCCUUCUGGUCCAGUCUCCCACGCUGCAGCCACCUUGUCCAGAUCAGGCCUGUGCUGAUCCUGACGCGAUGCCGCCUUCCAGGUCAUCCUCCUUGGAAACUUGUGCGAAGAGCUACAGCCACUCCAUAGCCAGGAGGUGGAGGCACCAAGAUUUGGACGCAGUACACAUUUUGACACUGACACUUCUCUGUCUGGCCUGAUUCCCCUUUUUUUAAAAAAAUUUUAAUUGUACUGAAGUAUAGUUGAUCUACAAUGUUGUGUUAAUUUCUUCUGUAUAGCAAAGUGACCCAGAUAUACACAUAUAUAUAAAUUCUUUUUCGUAUUCUUUUCCACCAUGGUCUGUCACAGAAUAUUGAAUAUAUAAUAGUUCCCUGUGCUCUACAGUAGGACCUUGUCGUCUAUCCAUCCUAUACACACUAGUUUGCCUCUGCUAAUCCCAAACUCUCAUUCCUCCCUCCCCACCUCCUUGGCAGCCACAAGUCUGUUCUCUACAUCUGUGAGUCUAUUUUUGUUUUGUAGAUAUGUUGAUUUGUAUUGUAUUUUAGCUUCCAAAUAUAAGUGAUAUCAUAUGAUAUUUGUCUUUCUCUGUCUGACUUACUUUGCUUAGUAUGAUAAUCUCUAGGUCCAUCCAUGUUGCUACAAAGGGCAUUAUUUCAUUGUUUUUAAUGGCUGAGUACUAUGCCAUUCUUUUUAAUGGCUGAGUACUAUGUACCACAUCUUCUUUAUCCAUGCAUCUGUCAAUGGACAUUUAGGUUCUUUCCAUGUCUUUUUUUUUUUCCAAUGUAUUUUUAAAUUUUAUUUAUUUAUUAUUUUUGGCUGCGUUGGGUCUUUGUUGCUGCGCGAGGGCUUUCUCUAGUUGCAGUGAGCGGGGGCUACUCUUCGUUGUGGUGUGUGGGCUUCUCAUUGCAGUGGCUUCUCUUGUUGCGGAGCACGGGCUCUAGGCAUGCCGGCUUCAGUAGUUGUGGCUCGCGGGCUGUAGAGCACAAGCUCAGUAGUUGUGACGCACGGGCUUAGUUGCUCCGCGGCAUGUGGGAUC